UACGAAGGGGGCUAGCGUUGUUCGGAAUUACUGGGCGUAAAGGGCGCGUAGGCGGCGUGUCAAGUCAGGCGUGAAAGCCCCGGGCUCAACCUGGGAGCCGCGCUUGAGACUGGCAUGCUCGAGUUCGGGAGAGGAUGGUGGAAUUCCCAGUGUAGAGGUGAAAUUCGUAGAUAUUGGGAAGAACACCGAUGGCGAAGGCAGCCAUCUGGACCGACACUGACGCUGAGGCGCGAAAGCGUGGGGAGCAAACAGG
rnacentral:rRNA from 1 species